GAGGAACAUUCAUGGCGGGGCGGUAACUAUGGUUCCUUAGGAUGUAUUUGAUGGCCCAAAUAAAUUUUAUGCGAUCAUGGUCCGGGGGGCCCGGACCCACUCGGAAGGCGUGGGCUUAGCACACGAAAAUAUGGGAAUCCGGUGGAAUUCUAGUAUUUUGGCCGUAAAACGCAAAACAACGAGGAACGGCCAUGGUGGGGCGGUGACUAUGGUUCCUUAGGUCGUAUUUAAUGGCCUAGAAUAAUUUUAGGCGAUCGGGGUCCGAGGGCCCGGACCCACUCGGAAAGCGUGGGCUAUAGAACACGAUUAUAUGGGAAUCAGGCGGAAUUCUAGUUUUUUGGCCGUAAAACGCAAAACAAUGAGGAACGACCAUGGCGGGGCGGUGACUAUGGUUCCUUAGGUCGUAUUUGAUAGCCCAGAAAUAUUUUAGGAGAUCGGGGUCCGGGGGGCCCGGAACCCACUAGGAAGGCGUGGGUUAUAGCACACGAGUAUUUGGGAAUCGAGCGGAAUUCUAGUUUUUUGGCUGUAAAACGUAAAACAACGAGGAACGGCCAUGGUGGGGCGGUGACUAUGGUUCCUUAGGUCGUAUUUUAUGGCCUGGAAAAAUGUUAGGCAAUCGGAGUCCAGGGGCUCGGACCCACUCUGAAGGCAUGGGC
rnacentral:lncRNA from 1 species